ACAGUUUCUAAAGCAGCCCCACAAACACUCACCUGAUUUCGGCGUCAGACCUAUGAGGCAGGUAGGGAGGGGUUCUUCCUAACAUCCUCAUCUUACAAAUGGAAACGGAGGCACAGGGAGGGGGGUCCCAUCCCUCCCCAUUGUCUUGAUGGGCAUCUGUAUGUUGACGGCCCUCUAAGGACGUUGUCACCCUUCUGAGCUCCCAAUUCACGUACCUGAGGUCGGCCUGAUGUUUCCACUUGCUUAUCUAAUGGACACACCCAACCCGAAAGGAACUCUUCACUUGUAACCUUAAACUGGUUAUUCUCCAGGAUGAUGGAUUCACACCUGCCUCGGCCAUGCACCCCAUCACAAAACCAGAAGCCUAGGAGUGCUCCUGUCAUCUUGAUUUUUCUCUCACAUCAGUGAUUCCAAAAUAAGGACUUAACCUGUGUGCUUCUCUUCUUCUCGCUGUCCCCACCCACCAGAGUCUCCCACCUGGACUGUUACCAUUGCCUCCUAACUGACCUUCCUACUUGCAUGCCUGUCAUCAUCUGCCCAUUUUCAACAUGCCUUCCAGAAGACAAAAUCUAUACUUAUCAGCUGAAGUUUGCAUAAAAUGCUCCAGUGCCUUCCACUUGCACCCAGGAUUCAAUCCAAAGCCCCUCCCAGGGCUGCCCAGGCUGUUUCCCCAACCUCCUUAGGGCCAUCUCCUCCUGGCUCCUACCCUCCUUGGCCCACUGCUGCCCCCGGAUCACACCCAGCUCCUCCCAGGACCUCAGCCCUGGCUGCUCCAGACCUUCCACUUGGUCCCUUGCCUUCUGUCAGUUCCCAAAGGUCAUCUUCCCAGAGAGACCCUCCCUGACCCUGGGUAAACUGCGUCUCCCUAUGCUGCUCCAGCCAGCACCCUGUUGACUCCCCUCACAAUGCUAACAAGCAUCUGCAUUCCA